AGGAUUUCAAGAACAAGAGGAUCAAUGCUUGAUUUGGCUACCCAGAAAAAGAAUUAAGAUACGAUAUGAAGAAGAACUUCCAAUAUCAACAUCCUCAGAAAGAGCUGCUCCAGAGGAUGGCCACCAACAAACUUCACCACUGGAAUGAA